GUAAGUGGAUUUCAAACUUUGACGCCAAUUAAAGUUUCUGUUCGCUUGCAG
rnacentral:pre_miRNA from 1 species